rnacentral:rRNA from 1 species
GAUGAACGCUAGCUACAGGCUUAACACAUGCAAGUCGAGGGGAAACGAUAGAGAAAGCUUGCUUUUUCUAGGCGUCGACCGGCGCACGGGUGAGUAACGCGUAUCCAACCUGCCCAUCACUUGGGGAUAACCUUGCGAAAGUAAGACUAAUACUCAAUGACGUCUCUAGAAGACAUCUGAAAGAGAUUAAAGAUUUAUCGGUGAUGGAUGGGGAUGCGUCUGAUUAGCUUGUUGGCGGGGUAACGGCCCACCAAGGCGACGAUCAGUAGGGGUUCUGAGAGGAAGGUCCCCCACAUUGGAACUGAGACACGGUCCAAACUCCUACGGGAGGCAGCAGUGAGGAAUAUUGGUCAAUAGGCGAGAGCCUGAACCAGCCAAGUAGCGUGCAGGAUGACGGCCCUAUGGGUUGUAAACUGCUUUUAUAAGGGAAUAAAGUGAGUCUCGUGAGACUUUUUGCAUGUACCUUAUGAAUAAGGACCGGCUAAUUCCGUGCCAGCCGCCGCGGUAA